CAGGGAGACAACAAAAUGUUUAAUAUUAUUAUUUUGUCACCUUAGGUCGAUCGGUAUCUCACGUUUUUAAUUUAUUAAGAAUUUCAUUUCCUAAGUUUUUCUAGGUCACACCCAUUAUUUUUCCUGGGCCAUUAGCUCAGGUGGUUAGAGCGCACCCCUGAUAAGGGUGAGGUCCCUGGUUCAAGUCCAGGAUGGCCCAUAUCUCUAUGUUGGGGGUAUAGCUCAGUUGGUAGAGCGCCUGCUUUGCAAGCAGGAUGUCAGCGGUUCGAGUCCGCUUACCUCCACUGAUCACCACCUCUUCCAUAACUGGUAGAAAGGAAAUUUUUUGAGUUGUGAUCAAAUUCUGAAAGAAUCUAGCUUCCUAAUGAAAUCAUUAAGAUGCUGGACUCAUUGAAUUAAUUUCAUUGUUUUCAGAGAACCUUGACAACUGCAUAGAUUAUUUUUAAAGACAAUAAGCAUCUUUAAUGAUGCAGAUUUAUUAUUUGUGCAAAUGCAUUAAUAACAAUUCUAUUAAGCUGAUGCUUCAAUUUUUGAAGUUAUU
rnacentral:tRNA from 1 species